GCGGGCGUAGUUCAAUGGUAGAACUUCAGCCUUCCAAGCUGAUAGCGUGGGUUCGAUUCCCAUCGCCCGCU
rfam:Gammaproteobacteria bacterium RIFCSPHIGHO2_12_FTLL_41_20 rifcsphigho2_12_scaffold_3109, whole genome shotgun sequence.